CCCAUUCGUACCAUAACAGACAAUGCGGUGCUAUGCAGCUCGUCGGUGACUUUCGGCCGCGUUCGGCUCCAACUGACCGGUCGUAGGUCCGAUUCGGCUGUAAGCAGGUUGCCAACUCUGACGCAUCUGGCGCGAGACUCGGGCUUUAAGAUUCAAACGCACACAGCAAUAAAUCUUAUGGAGAAUCUCUAUUAAUCCAUUUAAAACCUAAAACUGGCUACAUCAAAAGUGUUUGGGCAGUUUGCAAAUCCUAAAGAUGAUUUACAAGUUGGGGCAGAGACUGUCAUACGCUCUGGGUAACACUCACAGCCAGAUGCCGCGCUACAGUGAAAGAUUUACAAAUGUGACAAAAGCAAACUGACAAACCGAAUAAGCCCAGGACACUGGAAAAUACUUGAAAAACAUGG